GACAGAGGUGCCAAGCGUUAGGCGGAAUCACUGGGCUUAAAGCGUGUGUAGGCGGAUUGGUAAGUACCUUGUGAAAUCCCACGGCUUAACCGUGGAACUGCUGGGUAUACUGCCUGUCUUGAGCUACCUAGGGGCAACUGGAACAAACGGUGGAGCGGUGAAAUGCGUAGAUAUCGUUUGGAACGCCAAAGGUGAAAACAGGUUGCUGGGGGUAUGCUGACGCUGAGACACGAAAGCCAGGGGAGCGAACGGG
rnacentral:rRNA from 1 species